CUUCCCCCCACCACCACCAGCCGAACCCCCUAGCGAACUUACACCACCACCGAACGAACGAACCCCCUUAAAGUUGGACACCAAAAAUAAGAAACAGCACGAAGGAGAGAAGAGAGAGAGAAAACCAAAAAAGUCAGCACAAGAGUCGGUUCGUUUCUUUUCUUUUUUAGUAUCGUCACCGGUUACAUCGAGUGCUGAAGUUUGUGCGUGCGUGAGAGUGGUUAACAUUGCGGAGAUGAGCGUGGGCAGCGAGCAGAACACAACCGAAGCGUAUUAUUAACCAUUCGGGAAAUUUUCUUUCGAAAAGGAGCGCCACACGCUUCUCGUGAAAAAUACACACGACGACCUCACUGUGUGUGUGUAUGAGAGAGAGAAGGUAAUGUUAUUACUAUACUACGAAGAGAGAGGUCUAACUAAGGUGUGCCAUGAGAGCACAGGGCGCCCCUUCUCUCUCUCUCUCUUCUCUUUCGAGUUUUUAACGUCUUCCGUGAAUGGACCGGCCAUUCAUUCAACAGUUGAGGUGUGUGAGGAGUUGCGCAGAUCUGGUCUGGGACUCGUUCCAUCAAAAGCCUCGUCCCGGCGUCGUCCCAGCGUCGUUGUGUUUUUUUUUCCCCUCCGACAGUGUUGGAGGGAGACAAAUUUAAUUUCGGGAAUUUGAAUCGUUUGUGGUUGUGAGUGCGUGUAACGUUGAUGAACUACAAUGAUUUGAAAAUGUGUUCUCGUUGUGGAAUCUCCAAUGGAACGGAAAAUGGAUUAAAGUCGUCGACACGCUCCGAAAUCAACGGAUCGGCGCUGUUGGAGUCGAGUCGCCCGACUUGCUGUAAACCACUUCCUCCCAUCCGCCCGAGUCGAGAUGGAUGAAGGCGGAUCGCUGAGCAGGAGAAGAUGUGGACGACGUCGAGGAGGAGAACGCCGCGACGGCGGGUGCGCCAGUCGCACUGGCGGAAGAGUCUUCAGAAUGGCCAAUCACCCGCUCCGGAUGGGCCAGCAGUUGUUCCGUUUCGGCCAGGAGAAGAAGAAAAAGGUGAAGACCUUCCAUUCUUCUCUCGUCGGCGGAUGAUUUAUAUGCAGAUUGCUACUCACUCUUGGCCGAGAGGAGGCAAGAUGGAUGGACAAACAUAUUACAUCUAGGCCUGUACACGAAGAAAAGCUGUUGUGUGUGGUUUGACGAGUCGAAAAAAAAAACCGAACCAACUCCUCCCGAAAAAAAUAAGAAGCUGAUGGCGGACGCCGCCUCGUCAUCCGCGUCUACCGAUCCCGCAACCCGCGCGUCCCAGGACUUUCCGUCCCAAUUUGAGAAUUAAACAAAACAAAUUUUCUCAGAAAAGUGACGUCGGGAGAUUUGGUGAUGUUGAUCAAAUAAAAGAAGAAGAA